CCCUCCUGCCCGUGACGGCUCCCCAGCUCAGCCUCUGGAGCUCACCAGCUCUGAGGACACAGCACAAACUCCCUUUAAUAAUGGCAAGCGUUGAUAAGAAGGUGCAGGCGAAUUAAGCUUCACAAAAGAAAAGUUAAAUGAUUCUAUUGUUAGCCGAGUAGUUUCUAAAUGAACCCAUCAAAGUUUGGAAAAUUGUUUUAAUUGAUAGCCAGAUUAACAAUGAGAUAAAUAGAGAGAUUAGAAGACACCCGUUACACUCAGCUGAGGCUGUAGGCAAUUGUCAGCCCCAGCUAAUUGUUCAGUUUCACAGUUUUAAUGAAGUGCAGCCUCCUGAGCUGAACUGCUCCAGGAGCAGAGCAGAGGACAGCACCCGGAGCCUCCCAGAUCCCCUUCCACUGCCCUGCUCCAACUGAGAGACCGGGGCUGGGUGCUGGGCUGGGUGCUGUAUGCAUGCACCAGAGGAGCUGGGAGGUGCCCAGGCUGCCCUCUGUGCCCAAAAACACUCUGACAGCUCAUUUCUCCAGCCAUCUUCACAGCACAGCAAGCUCAUCACACAGGCUGACUCCGUUAACUGCACAAAAUGGGCUGUUCAUUCAGGCCAAGGGCUCCAUUUGUUCCUGCAACGUUACUUGGAAGAGGAACCGCUGCUGAAGGUAAGAAAAGCAAGCACAACUCCGUGGCCCUUCCAGUCCCCAACUGCAUGGCGUGUUUUAAAGAGAAGGCACAGCCCAGCGUGCAAAUAUGCUCCGAUACAAUAGCUAAAUCUUCUCAUCUUCCUGCUUGACAGCAAUGAAAAAUGAAAACAAGUGAGGGUGCCUGGCUUCUCACCCCUGCUCUCAGGGUUGUCUGCACAGCUCCCGUUUGCAAAGCGAUGAUCAUUAAACAGCCACGGUCGGCCCCACGCUGCUCUGGCUUUGCAGUGCUCACAGAGGAAUCAUCCCGGGGCUCCGAGAGGGGUCACUGGAGUCGUGCUCAGGACCCAGACAUUUUAGCAAUUGGGAGAGGAAGGCGAUGGCAGUGCCCCCCUCUGCAGCUGUGUUUCCUUGCAUCCGUUCAGCUUCUAAGGCUGAUGGUCAGGCAGAGGACAGAAGCGCAGUUGAGAAAGGAUGAAAUACAAAAACCUCACAGGAAAAGCUCAAGGGAGCAAGGGGCAGCGGGGAAGGGGAGCUGAGAUGCAUUGUUAUAGCUGACAUAACGGGGAGAGAAAAGCAACUUGGAGCUGACAGGGAGGGAGCAAAUAGGUAGGGCUCCCACAGCAGAAGAGAAUUGCAGAUUUGGUUAUUGCAGUCGUCUUUGCCAAUUUACUACCACGGAAGGUACAAACCUCUGCCUUUCACUGCAAAUGAAGAUGGACGUGGAUGCGCGCUGGCAGGCGGGCUUGCACAGAGGACAUUCCUGCACACUAAUGUACUCCGAGGAACCCUGAGUUUGUGCUUAAUCGGAGGAAAAAUACACCAAUCCACAUAUCCUGCUGUUGCUUCAGGUCACCCUGACAAAGCCAGCAGCUGGGGCUCUGGGACCGGGCUGCUGGUGUAUUAUACCUGCCACUCUUCAUUUGUGAGGAUGGCAAGAGUUCUGCAUUAGCAGGGUAAUUCAUGAGGCCGUGUUCAGGAGAAGACAGAGGAGAUGCAGCGCACGGUAGUAACGCAUCUUUGGUAUGCAUUAAGGGGAUUCAUCUUAUCAUCACUGUUCCACAAAGUUUUUAACCAUACCCUUAACUUUAAAUAGCAAAUAAAAAUAGAGCCAUCAGCAGGAGUCCUUUGUGUAUUUAUACACACGGUCACGGAUCUUUUUAUGGAACAUCAUUUAAAGCGCUGUCAUACCAAUAAAAUGCCUACAAACUACCUAGAGAUGAAGCAACGCUGCAUUUGCAUUUCCUACCUGGCUGUGCCGCUGAUUCUUUGAGUCAUUUUGCACAGCCUCAAUUUUACACAAUUUUACACAUUCGGUGUGCAGGCACAGAACAGCACAGGUGCGAUUGUUUGCCCACAGAACUUGAACCUUGAGAACUGGUGUUCAUGUUCCUAAAUUCCUCCUCCCCAGGCACUCUCUGCACCAGCGAUGAUGACCACACAGAGAUCAGAAA